rnacentral:ncRNA from 2 species
UUUUAGCCUAAAAGUUGGCAAAAAAGUGCGUUAGGGAUUGCAACGUAAAGCCCACAGCCUGACGAAGGAAGUGCGAGGACUUGCAGAGAAAAGCCCGACCCUUU